CCUAGAUGAACUGCUUUCGCUAACGAGCCCAACCUGCCCGGGUUUAUUGUUCGGAGUUUGCUCUCCUAGGUGUAUUACCUAUGACGGCUCACGAGCCCAACCUGCCCGGGUUUAUUGUUCGGAGUUUGCUCUCCUAGGUGAAUUGCCUACCACGGCUAACGAACCUCACCUGCCCGGGUUUGUUGUUCGGAGUUUGCUCUCCUAGGUGAAUUGCCUACCACGGCUAACGAACCUCACCUGCCCGGGUUUGUUGUUCGGAGUUUGCUCUCCUAGGCAGAUUGCCUACCACGGCUAACGAGCCCCACCUGCCCGGCGUUGUAGCCGAAAGAUCUCCGGC